rnacentral:misc_RNA from 1 species
UCGUCUCAGCAGGAGUG